GUAACGGUGUCUUUAGACACCACCCUUUUUUUGUCUUCGAAAUAUAU
rfam:Picea glauca, whole genome shotgun sequence.